rnacentral:lncRNA from 1 species
AUGCGCAGCCCUCGGGCCGGCCCGGGCGCACCUUUUCUGUCUCCUGCCACAUUGUGAGCGCUCCGCCGCCCAGAUAACCGCCGGCUCCCCGCGCCGCCCCCGCCUUCUCCCACUCCGCCCACUGCCGGGAGCCCAGGGGAUGAUGCAGCAAGAAGACCCACACCAGAUGAGGGCGCCUUGAUAUUGGAUUUCCCAGCCUCCAGAACUCAAAUAAAAAUGCAGUCUGGAUUUUAAGGGCCACACAGCAGCAAGAACUAAAACCUGGGUCUCCAAGGUCCAAGUCCAGGACUUCUCUAUGACACCCUACUGCAGCCCUUUGCUGGAUACCAUACAAAGCAAAUUGAGCAGAUGUGUUCUCUGCCCUCUGAAAGUUUGGACUCAAAUGGACAGCCACAAUUCUGGCAAACAUAAAAGGACAAAGUGAUUUAGUGUCAACUCACAUACGCAAUAAAUAACUGAGUUAAAUAGAUAAGGAAAGGCAUGUUCACCUGGUCUACUGAUAUUUUUUAAAUUCCAGUUGAGUAGAGAGCAAUGUUAAUAAGACUAAGGUUUUGGGCCAGUCCCAUUUUUGCCUACUUGCUUUGCACCUGGAAAAAUAUUUGUAACUGCAUGCAAACUCUUUCCCCUCCUCGUCUUCAACAAUCUGUAAACUUUCCCUGAGCAGCUACCAAGUGUAACACAAAGUGGGAAUGAAGGACCAUUAAGAAAUCAUCUCUGUGCCAUGCGCGGUGGCUCAAGCCUAUAAUCCCAGCACUUUGGGAGGCCGAGGCGGGUGGAUCACCUGAGCUCGGGAGUUCAAGGCCAGCCUGGCCAAUAUGGUGAAACCCUGUCUCUACUAAAAAUACAAAAAAAAAAAAAAAAAAAAAAUAGCUGGAUAUGAUGGCAUGUACCUGUAGUCCCAGCUACUCAGGAGGCUGAGGCAGAAGAAUCGCUUGAACCCAGGAGGCAGAGGUUGCAGUGAGCUGAGAUUGCUCCAUUGCACUCCAGCCUGAGAAACAAAAGCAAAACUCUAUCCCCACCCCCCCCAAAAAAAAGGAAGGAAAAGAGAAGAAAAAAAGUCAUCUGUGCCCUCGAGCAACAUCUUUAACCAUUCGCCUAAUUCAAACCACUGGGAUGAAAAUGUAUAUCCUGUAUAUACCAUCUCUACUGCUGGGAAAAAAGACACGUCAACUCAAUACCCAUCCUAUUUUUAGACGGCCUGAGAUUCGUCCUUAUCCAUGCAGGGCAGUCGGGUAGGACAAUGAAGAGGUGGACUUCUGAAUUUGAGAGAAAUUGGUCUUAUCCCAGAGAAGUGAGGCCACCACCCACCUGCAAUAGCUUGGCUUCCUGGAUCCCUAAGCAAAGACAGAGUCUUGCUCUGUCACUCGGGCUGGAGUACAGUGACACAAUCACGGUUCACUGCAGCCUGGACCUCCCAGGCUCAAGUGAUCCCCCUGCUGCAGCCUCCUGAGUAGCUGGGACUACAGGCCUGUGCCACCAUGUCCAGGUAAUUUUUAAAUUUUCUUUUCUCUCUCUCUCUCUCUCUUCUUUUUUCUUUCUGAGACAGAGUCUUGCUCUGUCACCCAGGCUGGAGUACAGUGUUGUGAUCUUGGCUCACUGCAACCUCCGUCUCCCGGAUUCAAGCAAUUCUUCUGACUCAGCCUGCCGAGUAGCUGGGACUACAGGCGUGCACCAUGGUGACCAGCUAAUUUUCGUAUUUUUUUUUAGUAGAGUCGGGGUUUCACAUGUUGGCCAGGCUGGUCUUGAACUCCUGACCUCAAGUGAAUUUUUAAAUUUUCUGUAGGAAUGGCAGUCUCACUAUGUUCCCCAGGCUGUCUUGAACUCCUGGGCUCAAGCAAUUCUCCCACCUCGGCUUCCCAAAUUAUUGGGAUUACAGGCAUGAGCCACUGCACCUGGGCAACACCUUGUUUUAAACAACAACAACAACAACAAAACCUCAAUGUACUUAAACAGAAUGGGUCUCCUGGUGGUCCUUAGGUCAUGGGGUGGGGUCAUGAUGCUGUCCAUUAAUGAAAGGGCAGGUGAAAUCUAGAGCAGGAGCUAAGCCUAUCUGAAUCUCAGAGCUGGGCAGCAGAAGAAUCUAUGUCAUGAAAUAAGAGGGACCAGUCCCCACUCUUCUGACCUUAGGCCCCUCCCCUAUUCCUUUAGAAUCAUAGCCUUUCUUCUCUUACCUGUAUUACUACAAAGUCAUCUGUAAGAAGGUACUGGAACUUUCAGGGCUUGAAUAACAAUCUGCCUUAUAGGUUGCAUUAGAGAACAUACAGUAAAGUAUUAUUUGGUGAAGUUAGGGAAUGGAGUGUUCUCGUUAAUCAAAUAAUCUGGUUAACAAAGUAGCACUCAACGUAUAGUAAUAUUUGGGAUAUACUUAUACAGGUUGAGUAUCCCUGACAAAAUAAUCUGAAAUCCAAAGCACUUCUGGUUCCAAGCAUUUGGAUAAGGGAUACUCAACCUAUACUAAAAUUAUUCACUGUUUAUCUGAAAUUCAAAUUUAACAAGGUGUUCUGUAUUUUGUCUGGAGACCUUACUGAUACAGCUUAGAUGUCCUCUCCAAAUCUCAUGUUCAGAUAUAAUCCCCAGUAUUGGAAGUGGAGCCUGAUGGGAGGUAUUGGGGUCAUGGGAGCAGAUCCCUCAUGGCUUCGUGCUGUUCUCACCACAUAAAAGCUUCCUGAGGCCUCCCUAGAAGAGGAGCAGAUGCUGUUGCCAUGCUUCUUGUACAGCCUGCAGAACUGUGAACCAAUUAAACUCUUUUCUUUAUACGUUAUCCAGUCUCAGGUAUUUCUUUAUAGCAAUGUAAGAACAGCCUAAUGGCUGGGCACAGUGGCUUAUGCCUGCAAUCCCAGCACUUUGGGAGGCUGAGGCAAAUGGAUUGCUUGAGCCCAGAAGUUCAAGACCAGUCUGGGCAACAUGACAAGACCCCGUCUCUACAAAAAAAAAAAAAAAAAAAAAAAAAAAAAAAAAAUUAGCCAGGCCUGCUGGCAUGCACCUGUAGUCCAAGCUACUUGGGAGGCUGAGGUGGAAGGGUCCCUUGAACCUGGGAGGUGGAGGUUGCAGUGAGCCAAUAUUGUGCCAUUGCACUCCAGCCUGGAUGACAGAACGAGACUCUGUCUCAAAACCAAACCAACCCAAAAAAAAAAAAAAAAAAAAAAAGAACAGCCUACAGCUGGGCGCAGGGACUCAUGCCUGUAAUCCCAGCACUUUGGGAGGCUGAGGUGGGUGGAUCACCUGAGGUCAGGAGUUCAAGACCAGCCUGGCCAACAUGGUGAAACCCUCUCUACUACAAAUACAAAAAAUUAGCCAGGCAUGGUGGCACACACCUGUAAUCCCAGCUUACUCAGAAGGCUGAGGCCCGAGAAUUGCUUGAACCCGGAAGGCGGAGAUUGCAGUGAACCGAGAUCAUGCCACUGCACUCCAGCUUGGGUAACAGAGAGACUCUGUCUCAAAAAAUAAUAAUAAAAUAAUAAAAAAAAAAUUAAAAAAGAACAGCCUACUACAUUUUCUUGCAGGUCCGGUCCACUGCUAGGAGAUCCAUAUCUACUCUUUGGGAGUUCUCCAGAGGAAAAAAUCAACAGGCGGGAGAAAGAUACUCUGCUAGCUUCAGAUUCAUUAGUACUAGGAAAUGGAGAGAUAGGAGGUAUAAUGUAUUAGGGAAGCAAGGGAUUCAGAACCAGGUGCCCACUGACUCUGAGAAGCACUGGGUGCACAGAGGGUAGCAGACAAGCAAGAGGGUGGAAUUUGCAGCAUCUCAUCUUGGUGAGACAGUUGGAAGACUUUUCUGCCAAUUAUAGUGGUUAAACACUGACUCAACAUCAAACAACGGCAUGAGGGGUCAGAGCCUUCAUUCGUGGACAAGUUUCAAAAACAUGGGAGCACCACCUGUCAUGAGCAAUUUAGUCAGAACAGAAGAGAAUAGAUCACACCCAACAAGACAGAAAAAGCUGCUUUCUGGAGAGGGCGGGAGCUAAUAUUUCCUAACACGGUGAAAUUGUGAAGUGCUUUUUGCAGCCCUUCAUAAUUUCAUCAUCCAAAGGGUUUGCUUUUGGAAUUCUUAGACACUUAAUUCUGUCCCUGCUUUCCGUGUCACUUCCACGGGACACUGAAUUUGGGAAGAGGGAGACCUCACCAAUGAUGGGAAGAACAGAUUGGGGGCUGGCGCCCUUUUGGGUUUGCCAUGUGAACAUCCUCCUGGAACAGUCUCCAUUCUGUCCCAGCAAGACACACUCUGCUCUGUGAAGAACCCAGGUGGGAAAAAAAAAAAAAUCUAUGAGGCCACAGUGGAAAUGCAGCUCAGCAGGACUCUCAGGUACCCCAAAAUUGUCCCAUCUGACAACUCACCACAUUCUAUUUAUUUAUUUAUUUAUUUAUUUUGAGAUGGAGUCUCACUGUGUCACCCAGGCUGGAGUGUAGUGGCGUGAUCUAGGCUCACCGCAGCCUACGCCUCCCAGAUUCAAGCGAUUCUCCUGCCUCAGCCUCCCAUGUAGCUGAGACUACAGGCAUGCGCCACCACACCCAGCUAAUUUUUGUAUUUUUAGUAGAGAUGGGGUUUCGCCAUGUUGCCCAGGCUGGUCUCAAACUUCUGACCUCAGGUGAUCCACCCCCGCCCCUCAGCCUCCCAAAGUUCUGGGAUUACAGUCAUGAGACACUGCACCUGGCCAACACAUUCUGUUUUCAUCAUUAGUGCCUGUCCUCCCUGCUAGCUCAUGGGCUCCCCCAGAGCAGGCAUGUUUGCCCUAGUCACCAUCAAAACUGUCUUAGUACCUGUCACGGUGCCUGGCACAUAGCAGUUAUUCAGUAAAUGUUUGUUGAAUAAAUCAACUAUAAACAUCAAAAUGAUUCCCUUAAAAAGGUCUUCAUUCUUGUUCAGAUGUAGAGAGUUACAUUACAAACACUUGUGUGCUGGGGAUAGGAAGGGACACUGUUGGGUAAUAAUAAGUGCUUGAAACAUGUGGGAGGGCCCUGGAAAAUAGCCCAAAAAGUUCACAUUGUAUCUGAUAAGCAACAGGGAGCUACUGCAGGUUCUUCAGGUCACCAGUAGGCAAGCAGGUGGUGGCUUUCCAGGCUGAAAAGUGUAUUUGAUCUGGAAGAUAGUAGGAUCACAGACAAACAGUGAGUCUUGGAGUAGCCUGAUCACAGUGGCAAGCUCAAGAGACAAUUUUAUGGCUGAGGGCUGAAUGUUUCAGCUGGGUGGGUGUCAAGAAACCAGCAAGACUCCAGGCAUGGUGGCUCAUGCCUGUAAUCCCAACACUUAGGGAGGCCGAGACAGAGGAUCCCUUAAGCCCAGGAGUUUGAGACCAGCCUGGGCAGUAUAAGGAAGCCCUGUCUCUACAAAAAUAAAAACAUAACAAAAUUAGCCAAGUGUGGUGGCGUGUGCCUGUGCUUCUAGCUCCUUCAGAGGCUGAAGUGGGGAGGAUCACUCGAGCCUGGGAGGUUGAGGCUUCACUGAGCUGUGAUCAUGCUGCUGCACUCCAGCCUGGGCGACAGAGUGAGACCCUGUCUCAAAAAACAAACAAACAAACAAGAAACCCAGCAAGAAUUAAGAAUUCUGGUGAGCACUGUUCCCGUGUGACCUCAGAGAGCUGAUAGGCAAUUUGAUGGCAGAGGCGGGGGCCAGUGCAGUCAUGGCCAAAAAUGGCCAGGGAGGAAGAAGAUGCCCUGGGUCUCAGCCCAGAGUCUGGUGUUGGAUGGUGUGGAGAGUAGAAGUGAAGCCAAAGUAAGGUCUGUCUUUCUUCAGAGAGAGCCUCCUAAAGGCAGAGGACAUGUCUUAUCCAUCUACACCCACAGCUCCAAGCGGAGCUCCUUGCCCAGAGAAGCUGCUUAAUAAAUUGACACACGAAUGCUUGGCUGCCUCGCUGGCUCUGGGAGGCAUGGAUGAUGCCAGAGCUUGGGGAGGCCACUGAAGCAGUGUUUAUUGUCCUUUCUCCUCCAACUUCCUCAGUCUACCCUUCUGUGUUGUCCCACCUCUCCUUGAAGCCAGAAGAUGUCCCCAAAGGUUGCUACUCUCCACAUGGACAGCAGCCAGGAGACGCCUGCCCUGCCCCGCCCCUUGCUAGUUGGUGAUGCUGGCCUAGCAAGGCAGGGUCCUGCAGGAUGAAAGCUCGGAGAAGCCAAAACAGGAAUAAUAAUGAUAAUAAUCAGCUGCGGCGUCUCAACCAUCCAGGAAUGCAAGGCUCCACGCCCUGUGUGCCUCACACCCCAGGACAUCGCAAGGGCUCCUCUCCCUUUAUUUUAUUGCAGUGAUCCCACACUGCCAUUCCCAGCCCAACCCAUCUGGAUUCCCAAGAACUGCAGUCCAGCCACCGGCUCAUCCACCACCCAGUUUCCAUGGGAAUAUUCAGCUCCAAGACCUAAGCCAGCAGCAGGGUAAGACGCCCAGCUACUUGGAAACUCGUGCUCCAUGGCUUCUGGGAGAAGCAGUCUGCCCACCCCUGGCCUGGAACGCUUUCCCAUAGACCCAUCUAUGUCUGGUCAAUGUGAGGGCCAGGUACCUUGCUUGUGUCAAUCCAAAUCUGGAUUCAAGUCUGGUCUGGCCUUAAACUAACUCACCACGGGACCCUAGACAGGUUUGGUUUCAUUUUUUAACUUUUUUGGGUUCACUCGCUCUCUUGCCCAAAAGCUUUUCAAGGAUCCCCAUGGCUCAGUGAAGAUAAACUCUGGAUCUAGAGGUCUAGUACGUGGCCAUUUGAAAUCUCGUUCUAAAACACCUUUCCAAAUCCACUCGUCUCCUUCACCUUUGGGAUGCCAGCCAGAAGGAAGUACUCACCGUUGGUCAUGCACAUCCCAUGCUUUUCCAUUUGGGGAUUUUGCUCCUUCUUUGGGAAUGUCAUUCCUUCCACCUCUACCUCCACCUGGCAAGACCCUCCUAGCCUUCAAGGCCCAGGCCAGGGGCCAUCUCCUCCAUGAUUAUGCCUGACCCUCAUCCACCUUGGAACCCUGCUUCCUUUUCCUCAGACCCUUUCAAGCCCCAGUACUCACAUUGUGCUGUGGGUGUGUGCAUAUCUUAAUCAUCAGCAUCCUGAUGUCUCGUUCAUCUCUGUGUCUCCAUGGCGGCUAGUACAGCACCUUGCACACAGGGCAAGGAAUCAAUACAUAAGUUCCAGACAUACAUUGUGGAGAAUAAUCAUCCUCACUCUAUUAAAUCCUCCCACAAUUGUGCUCCAAAAAAUAAAAAUAAUUAUUUUAGGCCAGGUGUGAUGGCUCACAUCUGUAAUCCCAGCACUUUGGGAGGCCAAGGCAGGAGGAUCGCUUGAGCCCAGGAGUUUCAGACCAGCUUGGGCAACAUAGUGGGACCCUAUCUCUACAAAAAAUAAAAUUAGCCAGGCAUGGUUGCACAUGCCUGUUGUCCCAGCUACUCAGGAGGCUGAGGUGGGAGGAUUGACUGAGCUGGGGAGGCAAAGGUUGCAGUGAGCCAAGAUCAUACCACUGCACUCCAGCCUGAGUGACAGAGCAAGACCCUGUCUCCCUAGCUCCAAAAUGUUUAUUUAAUAUAACAUUUCCUGAGUGUGUAUUAUUGGCUUGAGAGAGAAAUAAAGAGUACAAAGGCCAGGAAGGCCCCUUACCCCCACCCCAGCCUCCUCUGUAGGUAGGAUGCAGGUACCCAAGUCUCCAUGAAGACAUCAGCUCUCUGGCUUUGGCUCCUAGGCUGACACUAGGAACCCUUUCCUUGACCAGUGGCUGGUCCAGUUCCAUCUCAGACUCUGUCUAGUACGAGGUGGGUUCUUCCCUU